UUGUUUUGGAAGCACAUAUACCAAAAUUGGGAUAUUACAAAGAAGAUUAUAAUGGCCCCUGUGCAAGGAUAUCACUUGAAUUUGUGAAGUGUUCCAUAUUUUU